GAUGAACGCUGGCGGCGUGCUUAACACAUGCAAGUCGAACGGAGCACCCCCGAAGGAGUUUUCGGACAACGGAGGGGAAUGCUUAGUGGCGGACGGGUGAGUAACGCGUGAGGAACCUGCCUUGGAGAGUGGAAUAACACAUGGAAACGUGUACUAAUACCGCAUAAUGCAACGGAAUCGCAUGGUUUUGUUGCCAAAGAUUUAUCGCUCUGAGAUGGCCUCGCGUCUGAUUAGCUAGUUGGUGGGGUAACGGCCCACCAAGGCGACGAUCAGUAGCCGGCCUGAGAGGGCGAUCGGCCACAUUGGGACUGAGACACGGCCCAAACUCCUACGGGAGGCAGCAGUGGGGAAUAUUGCACAAUGGGGGAAACCCUGAUGCAGCGACGCCGCGUGAAGGAAGAAGUAUUUCGGUACGUAAACUUCUAUCAGCAAGGAAGAAAAUGACGGUACUUGACUAAGAAGCCCCGGCUAACUACGUGCCAGCCGCCGCCGUAAGAC
rnacentral:rRNA from 1 species